UACGUAGGGUGCAAGUGUUGUCCGGAUUUAUUGGGCGUAAAGAGCUCGUAGGCGGUUUGUCGCGUCGGAUGUGAAAACCCAGGGCUCAACCCUGGGCCUGCAUUCGAUACGGGCAGACUAGAGUAUGGCAGGGGAGACUGGAAUUCCUGGUGUAGCGGUGAAAUGCGCAGAUAUCAGGAGGAACACCGGUGGCGAAGGCGGGUCUCUGGGCCAAAACUGACGCUGAGGAGCGAAAGCGUGGGGAGCGAACAGG
rnacentral:rRNA from 1 species